CAAGAGUGCACACGCUGAAAUGUCUCGCCUUCUUUACUAAUCAUUGAUAUUAUGUUGAUAGUCCUAAAUAUAAAGCUUUAAUACAACUGUCACAUAAACUUAACAUUAACCAAGUAAACUAAACAUUGACCAAUGAACCAUGAAAAUGAGGUCAAGGUCAGAUGAACCAUGCUAGGCAGGCAUGUACAGCUAACAAUUCUUCCAUACAACAAGUAUGGUUGACCUAUUGCUUAUAGUUUAAGAAAAACAGACCAAAACACAAAAACUUAACACUGAGCAAUGAACCUUGAAAAUGAGGUCAAGGUCAAAUAAAACCUGCGUGACUGACAUAUAGAUCAUAAAAUAUUUCCAUACACUAAAUGUAGUUGAACUAUUGCAUAUAGUAUUAGAAAAAAAGAUCAAAUCUCAAAAACUUAACUUUGACCACUGAACCAUGAAAAUGAGGUCAAGGUCAGAUGACACCUGCCAGCUAGACAUGUACACCUUACAAUCAUUCCAUACAGCAAAUAUAGUAGACCUAUUGCAUGCAGUAUUAGAAAAAAAGACCAAAACUCAAAAACUUAACUUUGACCACUGAACCAUGAAAAUGAGGUCAAGGUCAGAUGACACCUGCCAGCUAGACAUGUACACCUUACAAUCCUUCCAUACACCAAAUAUAGUAGACCUAUUGCAUACAGUAUAAGAAAAACAGACCAAAACACAAAAACUCAACUAUAACCACUGAACCAUGAAAAUGAGGUCAAGGUCAGAUGACACCUGCCAGCUAGACAUGCACACCUUACAAUCCUUCCAUACACCAAAUAUAGUAGACCUAUUGCAUACAGUAUAAGAAAAACAGACCAAAACACAAAAAC